ACUCCUACGGGAGGCAGCAGUAGGGAAUCUUCCACAAUGGACGCAAGUCUGAUGGAGCAACGCCGCGUGAGUGAAGAAGGCUUUCGGGUCGUAAAACUCUGUUGUUGGAGAAGAAUGGUCGGCAGAGUAACUGUUGUCGGCGUGACGGUAUCCAACCAGAAAGCCACGGCUAACUACGUGCCAGCAGCCGCGGUAAUACA
rnacentral:rRNA from 1 species